GUGAGCUCGCCAGCCUGUGGAGAACGCUUCCUCGGCUCUCCUGGUGAUAGGGAGAACUUGUCAGUCUGCACUUGUGUGCGGUGGAGGGGGAGCUGCCCGGACCUGAGCAGGAAACAAAUACAUGGAUCGUCAGUCAGCUUCCUGAUUCGGUGCCUGAAGCAUCCACAUCCCAACAGGAGUUGCUGUGCUGUUGAAAUGUGGAACCCACAAAUCAGGUUCUUGCCUCGGCUGCUGAAAGCUUCAUGGGCCGGAGUCCCCAUAGCCCUAAAAGCCUCAUCCAAAGCAAAGGCCUGGAAGUGGAACCCAGAGAGAGCAAUGCUUGGAGAACUGAACAUCCUUCAGCCUGUCUUGGAAGGAGAGCUGCACAAGAUAAGACUAGAGAGGUGGCCUGGGGUGAAGUCAUGAGGCCUCAUAAAGCCAUGUUAAGAAAUUUGAGCUUUACUCGUGGGCAAAAAGGAGGCUUUGGUGGAUUUUAAACAGCAGUAGCAAAGCUGUGAAAGGAUGACUGGGAUAAUAGUUUGGAGAAGAGGGGGCUGGUGGGCAAGAGUAUAGGUAAGAAGACAACUUGGGAGGCUCUUGUAGUCAAGUGAGAGUUAAUGUUAGCCUGACCUAGCCAUUGGUGGGGGUGGAGAGAAAAAGAGACUUGACAGUUGUCUCCAAGGUAAAUGUGGCAGGAUUUGGUGAUGACUAUUUGUGGGAGGCAGGGCCAGGGAGCUAUCAGGAGUGAUGCCAGAGCAGUGGUAGAAAGGAGGUUCCACUCACUAAGACAGACAAUAUGAGAGAAGGAGCAUGUCUGGGAGGGAGGACAACUAAUCCAUUGUUGCUGAGUUUGGGGCUCUGGUAUGUAUACACUGAGAUAUCCACAAGGCCGAAGCUCAGGGAAGAGACUGGAUUGACAGUUGUAAGUCUGGAAGUUGUCAGUAAAUGCAUGGUUAUCAAAGCUGUGGGAAUAGAUGAGUUGGCACAGGGAGAGCGAGUUUAAUGACUUCAGGACAAGCAGCCCAAGGAGCAUCAGCAGAGAUGGUCUGAAGCAGAGAAACAUAUAUAGUUCAGUGAAAAAGAAAGGGCCAGAGAGCAGAAAGCAAAUGAGGAAAGGGCUGUGGAACAAACUGGCCCACUUCUCCCCAUUCCCACCCAUACCCAGCAGUCUAUGCUGUCAUCUUCUCUUGCGUGGACCACUGCUCCAGCCUCCUAAUGGCUCCACAUGUCUGUUUUGCCACCUUCCAUUCACUCUCACUUAGUUGCCAUAGCAAUGUUUCAGAAAUGCAAAACCAGUCACAUCACUGUCCUGCUUACAACUUUGCAAUGGCUUCCUAUUACACUUAGGAUAAAGAGCCAAAGUCUUUAACAAGGCACUCAAUACAUGUCUGAAUGAACGAAGCCAAAGGAAGUGAGUGGUUCAAGGAAUGGUGUCAAAUGCUGAUAAGCAGUUCAAGGAAAAUAAAUGCACUGGGUACGUGUGGGAAAGUUAUGACCCUGGAGCCAUUUCACAGGGAGGUAGGGGGAAGGAGUCGAUGGCACGGAGUGAAGGGUGAGUAGAGGUGAUUAUUUGUAAGAGUAGAUUCUCCUUGAGAAUAGAAGCUCUUAAACAUCAAAAAGCAUGAAGUAUAUCUUAUUUCAUCUCUGUUCCUCAAAAGAGGCUAAAUAUAAACCUGGAAAAUAGGUUCUCAAUAAAUGCUCGCUAAGAAAAA